rnacentral:rRNA from 1 species
AACGCUGGCGGCAGGCUUAACACAUGCAAGUCGAACGGUAGCANGUAGGAAGCUUGCUUUCUUGCUGACGAGUGGCGGACGGGUGAGUAAUGCUUGGGAAUCUGGCUUAUGGAGGGGGAUAACUACUGGAAACGGUAGCUAAUACCGCGUAAUAUCGAGAGAUUAAAGGGUGGGACUUUCGGGCCACCUGCCAUAAGAUGAGCCCAAGUGGGAUUAGGUAGUUGGUGGGGUAAAGGCCUACCAAGCCUGCGAUCUCUAGCUGGUCUGAGAGGAUGGCCAGCCACACUGGAACUGAGACACGGUCCAGACUCCUACGGGAGGCAGCAGUGGGGAAUAUUGCACAAUGGGGGGAACCCUGAUGCAGCCAUGCCGCGUGAAUGAAGAAGGCCUUCGGGUUGUAAAGUUCUUUCGGUGAUGAGGAAGGCAGGUAUUUUAAUAGAAUACUUGAUUGACGUUAGUCACAGAAGAAGCACCGGCUAACUCCGUGCCAGCAGCCGCGGUAAUACGGAGGGUGCGAGCGUUAAUCGGAAUAACUGGGCGUAAAGGGCACGCAGGCGGAUUGUUAAGUGAGAUGUGAAAGCCCCGAGCUUAACUUGGGAAUUGCAUUUCAGACUGGCAGUCUAGAGUAUUUUAGGGAGGGGUAGAAUUCCACGUGUAGCGGUGAAAUGCGUAGAGAUGUGGAGGAAUACCGAAGGCGAAGGCAGCCCCUUGGGAAUAUACUGACGCUCAUGUGCGAAAGCGUGGGGAGCAAACAGGAUUAGAUACCCUGGUAGUCCACGCUGUAAACGAUGUUGAUUUGGGGAUUGGGCUUUAAGCUUGGUGCCCGUAGCUAACGUGAUAAAUCAACCGCCUGGGGAGUU